rnacentral:rRNA from 1 species
UACGUAGGGCGCAAGCGUUUGUCCGGAAUUAUUGGGCGUAAAGAGCUCGUAGGCGGCUUGUCACGUCGGGUGUGAAAGCCCGGGCUUAACCCCGGGUCUGCAUUCGAUACGGGCUAGCUAGAGUGUGGUAGGGGAGAUCGGAAUUCCUGGUGUAGCGGUGAAAUGCGCAGAUAUCAGGAGGAACACCGGUGGCGAAGGCGGAUCUCUGGGCCAUUACUGACGCUGAGGAGCGAAAAGCGUGGGGAGCGAACAGG